rnacentral:rRNA from 1 species
GGGGCAUUGUAUUCUGAAGCCUUGAUUCUGAGAACCGGUACCUAAGUCUUCUGGAAAGGAGCGCCAAGGAGGGUGAUAGCCCCGUACGGUACUGACCUCAUUGUAGAAUCUUGGCGUGGAGUCGAGUUGUUUGGGAAUGCAGCUCAAAUGGGUGGUAUGCUCCAUCUAAAGCUAAAUAUCUGCGAGAGACCGAUAGCGAACAAGUACUGUGAAGGAAAGAUGAAAAGAACUUUGAAAAGAGAGUGAAAAAGUACGUGAAAUUGUUGAAAUGGAAGGAUAGGCCGCUAACCACGUAGAGCCGUGUCUGAGGGGAGGAUAAAAGCUGUAGAAUGUGACUCUUCGGAGUGUUAUAGCUGCAGUGCAUACUCCCACUCGGGCGCGAGGACCUAAGGCUC